rnacentral:piRNA from 1 species
ACCUGCAUCGGUUAGAGCUUUUGCUUU